rnacentral:rRNA from 1 species
GGAGAUUACAAGCAUAAGCUCAAAACUCAAAGGACUUGGCGGCGCUUUAAACCCAUCUAGAGGAGCCUGUCCUAUAACCGAUAAUCCCCGUUAAACCUUACCUUCUCUUGCUCUCAGCCUAUAUACCGCCGUCGUCAGCCCACCCUGUGAAGGCCCAAUAGUAGGCAAGACUGGUCCAGCCCAAAACGUCAGGUCGAGGUGUAGCAUAUGAGAAGGAAUGAGAUGGGCUACAUUUCCUACACAGGGAACCACGGAUAGUACAAUGAAACGCGUACAUUGAAGAAGGAUUUAGCAGUAAGUAAAAAAUAGAGUGUUUU